rnacentral:rRNA from 1 species
GACGAACGCUGGCGGCGUGCUUAACACAUGCAAGUCGAGCGGUAAGGCCCUUUCGGGGGUACGACGAGCGGCGAACGGGUGAGUAACACGUGGGUGACCUGCCCUCAGCUCUGGGAUAAGCCUGGGAAACCGGGUCUAAUACUGGAUAUGACUCCAUGACGCAUGUUGUGGGGUGGAAAGCCUUGUGCGGCUGAGGAUGGGCCCGCGGCCUAUCAGCUUGUUGGUGGGGGUGANGGCCUACCAAGGCGGACGACGGGUAGCCGGCCUGAGAGGGCGACCGGCCACACUGGGAC